CCUGAAUGCAAUAAACACAGUGGAAAUCCCUUGGUUAUGUCUGUGCCUGAGAGCUGGAAGAACCUGGGCUCCAAACCCACUGAAGGAGCUCUACACAUGGCAGAAGGCAUGUCUUGGAGGAUAAGAAACAAAGGACUAAAUAUAAAAUGACAGAAUAGCUUAGGUUGGAAAGGUCCUUAGAGAUCAUCUGUUUCCAACUACGCUGCUGUGGGUAGGGAAAAUUUCCGCUAGAUCUCAUUGCUCAAAGCCACAUCCAACCUGGCCUUGAAAUAUGCAAAGUGUUGUGUCUAUGCCUCAUGGAAGGUGCUGUCUUCAAGAUCCUCUAG
ensembl:lncRNA